CCCUAAAGAUCGCUGAAUCCGAAUAGGAGCGGGGGAACCAACCGUGGCUUUGUGCGCCACAUGGGGUGAAUCCUGUUCAGGACGCCUGUUCUGAACGGGUAGGGUGACUCUCAUCACCCGAAUCCGUCAGCUAACCUCGUAAGCGUGUUGAGAGAAGGG
rnacentral:sRNA from 2 species